rnacentral:SRP_RNA from 1 species
GAAGGUCGGCUGGCGGACGGACUCCUCGCCAACCCGGUCAGGUCCGGAAGGAAGCAGCCGUAACGAGUUUCUGUCCGGGUCGUCAGUUCGGCCUUCCGC